GUGAUGAGAAAGUGUUCUCUCUGAUCACUCAUUGCUUCUGGUUUUCCUUUGCAGGUAUGCAAGAUUUAUCACUGGGGGAUCGAGAAGAAGAACUGGAGCAACGACCUGCAGCACCGGGCAUGGGGAACCUGGGUCCAAACAUGUCUGAUCCUGAACCUCGGAUGAAGUCUAUGAAACAUGCAAGAAGGGAAAGGAUACAGAAGAACCUGCCUUACCACAAGAAAUUUAGUUCUAAUUACUGAUUGCUGGGCUGGGAGGGGUGCUGGAAUGGGAGGCACUGCUGGAAGGUGGAGGGGGAGGUGGGAGGUGAUUCGCGGUGGGCUGUUGGGUUGGCCACAGAGUUUCUGGAGCGGAAGGGGUCUCUGAACCCAAAGCCUGAGGAGAGAUCUGUGCUGUUAGGCACAGGAAAGGCCAGUUCAUGGCUCCCACCUCUACUCCCAUCCCCCUGUCCCAGUCCGUGCUCCCCAGGAAGAUCUGGGUCUUACUGGAGUGGGCUUGGGGGCUGGUGACUUUUCCUCAAUACCGACACUGGGAUCGAGAUCUUCACUUUCCCACCAGCCUCGUUCCACAGGGAGACCCUGCACCCCUGGUUUUGAGUGGAGACAAGGAAAACCCAGCUGUGCCUCAGCGACAGCACCUCCUACAUGUUCUCCUCCCCUUCCACCGUCUCAGUAGCCUCCAGCAA